CCUAACACAUGCAAGUCGAGCGGAUGAAGAGAGCUUGCUCUCUGAUUCAGCGGCGGACGGGUGAGUAAUGCCUAGGAAUCUGCCUGGUAGUGGGGGACAACGUCUCGAAAGGGACGCUAAUACCGCAUACGUCCUACGGGAGAAAGCAGGGGACCUUCGGGCCUUGCGCUAUCAGAUGAGCCUAGGUCGGAUUAGCUAGUUGGUGAGGUAAUGGCUCACCAAGGCGACGAUCCGUAACUGGUCUGAGAGGAUGAUCAGUCACACUGGAACUGAGACACGGUCCAGACUCCUACGGGAGGCAGCAGUGGGGAAUAUUGGACAAUGGGCGAAAGCCUGAUCCAGCCAUGCCGCGUGUGUGAAGAAGGUCUUCGGAUUGUAAAGCACUUUAAGUUGGGAGGAAGGGCAGUAAGCGAAUACUUUGCUGUUUUGACGUUACCGACAGAAUAAGCACCGGCUAACUCUGUGCCAGCAGCCGCGGUAAUACAGAGGGUGCAAGCGUUAAUCGGAAUUACUGGGCGUAAAGCGCGCGUAGGUGGUUUGUUAAGUUGAAUGUGAAAUCCCCGGGCUCAACCUGGGAACUGCAUCCAAAACUGGCAAGCUAGAGUAGGGCAGAGGGUGGUGGAAUUUCCUGUGUAGCGGUGAAAUGCGUAGAUAUAGGAAGGAACACCAGUGGCGAA
rnacentral:rRNA from 1 species